UUUCCAACCUUUUCCCCUUCUAAUAAUGAAAACCCACGCUUCUGCCAAAACUAUUUUCCCCUUUUUAUAAGGAAAAUUCCCACCUUUUGAACAUAAAACCCUCUCCAAGUCCCAUCUGCAUAAGAAAAACACUAGUAACCUAGAACUCGAGGACUUAUUCCAUCGAAGCAGCGAUAUCAAGCAAGUUUCAACAACGUCCAUGACUAUUCAGGACUUACAAUAUGAAGUUCGCAAAUUUUCCAUGCCGAAGAUUUCAAUAAGAAGAAAAGUGGCAAAAAUCAUUUGAAGAUAUUAUUCAAUAUAUCAGUAGGAACAACAUAAGAUUUUAUAAGUUGUGGCGUUCAUAUUUUGGAUUAGUACCUCCUUUUAUUUGUCAAGAUCUUAUGACAUAUAUUCUAGUUCAUCAAUUAAUAUUAAUAUAUUUUUAGUAUUUACUAAA